UACACACUACACCUYGUAAACUAUUAAUGCCUUCGAAUUAUAAACCCCUUUUUWCAUGGAAUAAUAAUGACGGUACCUGAGGAAUAAGUCCCGGCUAACUACGUGCCAGCAGCCGCGKUAAUACGUAUGANGCAAGCGUUAUCCGGAUUUACUGGGCGUAAAGAGCGYGUAGGCGGUUUUUYAAGUCGAAUGUAAAAUCUCCCGGCUCAACUCGGAAACUCCAUUCGAUACUNYUAUGCUAGAGUACAGCAGAGGGAGAYGGAAUUCCUGGUGUAGUGGUGAAAUCUGUAGAUAUCAGGAGGAACACCAGUGGCGAAGGCGGCCUCCUAGCCUGUUACUGACGCUGAGCCCCAAAAGCUUGGGGAGCAAACAGGAUUAGAUACCCUGGUAGUCCWMGCYGUAAACUAUGUACACUAGRUAUARGUACUAUCCAMCCUMUUUGU
rnacentral:rRNA from 1 species